rnacentral:rRNA from 1 species
UACGUAGGGUGCGAGCGUUAAUCGGAAUUACUGGGCGUAAAGCGUGCGCAGGCGGUGGGCUGUGUCCGAUGUGAAAGCCCCGGGCUUAACCUGGGAAUGGCAUUGGAAACUGGCUCGCUGGAGUGUGGCAGAGGGGGGUGGAAUUCCGCGUGUAGCAGUGAAAUGCGUAGAGAUGCGGAGGAACACCGAUGGCGAAGGCAGCCCCCUGGGCUAACACUGACGCUCAGGCACGAAAGCGUGGGGAGCAAACAGG